GCAUUGGUGGUUCAGUGGUAGAAUCCUCGCCUGCCACGCGGGGGUCCCGGGUUCGAUUCCCGGCCAAUGCA
rnacentral:tRNA from 1 species